rnacentral:tRNA from 1 species
GCCCACGUAGCUCAGGCGGUAGAGCACAUCAUUGGUAAUGAUGUGGUCACCGGUUCGACUCCGGUCGUGGGCU